rnacentral:lncRNA from 1 species
CGCCGCUUACCUGUGCGGGCGGGCCUGGGCGGCCCCGCGUGUGGCCUGAGGGGCGGCGGGGCGGCACAGCCCACUGCCAGUAGUUCCGUGCAACGCCGCAGCUGCGCUGACAGUGUUCUAAUCCCCGUCCAGGUACAGUCUUACAUCCAUCUCAGAUGGGGUGGGCAGAGGGAAGGUUGAUGACCCUCCUUCUCGAGGGUGCCUUGGCUUGGCCACCUGCGAGCCCUUUGCCGCUGCCUUCUCCUUCCCUGAAGGAAGGAAGGAAGCUGAAGACCAGGCGUGUCCCAUGACAGUUCAAAAUACAAAUCCUAGGGAAAUAAGCCCAGCCGACUCUCUUGUCAUGGCUUUUUACAGGGUACUCUCCGGCAGAGCGGUGCUCCGCCGCCAUCUCCCAACCCUUUAUACUAUUAAGGUUUCCACCUCUGUGGAAUAGGAUGAAUACCGCUGUUCUGCUCCACCUCUGCCUCAGGGACUGUAACAGUGAGGAUUUCACACAUUUUUCCCUAAAACAAACGCUUCCCCUGGUUUCAUUUUCCCCAGUUUUACCGUGACUGGAGGUUAUCCUGGAGGAGGGCCAGCCUUUGCCGGAGCACAUCUCUUCCUCCCAGGCAGCUGGCAGAUGAGGCGCUGUGCCAGACCUUGCGCCAGAGGCACCAUCCACAGCACCAGUCCUCAGCUGUACUGCUCCUGCUGCCGAGUCACCCAGGGCAAGGAGUUCUUUUGCUAGCAUCCUCAGCGCUGAGAUUACUGCUAGAGACAAACAAGCAGACUAAUACAUCACAAAUCAAGAUGCUCUCCAGGACACAAAGCAAGAAGGGCCUUCCUGCAGAGACCUUCACAAUGGGAUUUGAGGAGACAUACCCUAAUCACAGUGCAAGAGUACAUACUCUGAGAUUCCCUGGGGUUUACUGUCAUUAAGGAACCGGAGGCUGAAAUGUCGGCACGCCAAUGCCAUCCUCAAACCCUGAUCCCAGGGAAAUGCUGAAUGAUUGAAGAUUAGCAGCUAUUUAAUCCACUUUGGCCUGGAAAGAAUUUAAGAAGAAUGAGAAGCUUGAAUCAAAACUUGAGUAAGCCUGAAGCUAUCUUGACAUGUUUGUGAAAUAAAUUCCCUCCCGACACUUUUCUAUUAUUUCA